GCUGGCUGAUAUGUUUAUUUCAGACAAUGAUCAGUACAAAUACAAUGAUAAUCUGGGGUGGCUUUUUGCUUAGCUCUUUUCCUAUUGUUUAGCCUUUCUGCUAUUAGUUAGCGGAUUAAUCCUAAUCCUUUUGUAGCAGAGUUUUACUAGAUUGUAUGGCUCACAUCACAGAAAGAAUGGAUCUUUGCACUCAAAUGGGAUAUAAACAAUAUUUAAUCUCAUUUUGUUGUGUCUAUAUUUUGCAAUCACGAAACCAAGAACAAAGAGAGAAAAAAAGGAAGGAGUCUAGGAAAUUCAGUUAGGAAAACAGUGGCAUAUUUCUGACAUAUCUUUCAGACAAAUGAGUUUUGAAGUGCAACUUAAACAACCUUGACUUGUUUUCACAAGCACAAAAUAUGCAAGUUUGGGAGAUUCUCAACAGGCCUUGAAAUAAGAAUGCAGGAAGGAGACUGGAUAAGGCAGGAGAGAGGGGAUGUGCAGUAUUUUACCCUUCCAUGCUGUGUAAAUAACACAGGGGAGUUUAGCAGAGGCUGUGAGUUCUACACAAAUCACAGCAAUGGGCUGUAGGACAGGGGUCAGCUGGAACAGCCCUGCCCAUAAUCCUGUGCAACUGGUCAAGCCAGAGCACCAGUAGACCCAUGGCCACCUGUGUGAUUGUGUAUCUUUCUAGGCUGCAGAGGCACAGGAGGCCUCUUCUCCAUCAAAGGUGCAUUAAAUCCCAACUUGACAUGGAUCAGGACUUACAGGCUCAUUAGUUCAUCAGCUCUGUCACUCUGCUUUUACUGUGUUAAACUCCAAAGUUGAUAUCAGCUUCUAACGCAGUGAUAUAUUCAGUGCAGAAGUGCGACCUGUUAGUGCUUUCUUGGUGAUGCAUUUCUCAGUCUAGAAGAGAGGACUUAAAAAAAAUUCAGGCCGAAGCCUUGACAUGGCAAAGGGAACGUUAGUCAACAGUAACAAAAUAAGCAGCCAGUCUGCACCCUACAGGCACCAAAUGAGUGGUUCCCUAGCCAUCAGAGAGACCUUCCUAUUGAUAUGAGAGGCAUAUCAAUAACCAGCUUACAUGCCAUGGUUUUUGUAAUACUUCUGUUGUACAAUCAUACUUUUUACCAUAACUUUGGAAAACAAUUCGCAAAGUAGGUCACAUUAAAAACCCACAGAUGAAGAAAUGUGUCAUGGAGUUAGGAAGGAGAUAUUUAAUGUUGUCCAGCCAGUCCAGAGCUGAUGUUAAAAACCAGCAUCAGGCUAGCAUCCCCUCAGGAUUUGGUGGAACAUCUCCUCUAAGAGGACAGGCUGAGAGAGCUGGGGCUGUUCAGCCUGGAGAAGAGAAAGCUCCAAGGAGACCUGACAGCGGCUUGUCAGUAUGUAAAGGGGAGCCUGUAAGAAAGAAAGGGACAGACACGGUAGCAGGGUCUGUUGUGACAGGACAAGGGGAAAUGGUUUCAGACUAAAAGAGGGGAGAUUUAAAUUGGAUAUAAGGAAAAAGGUUUGUUUGUUUGUUUGUUUGUUUGUUUGUUUUAAUAAGGGUAGUGAGGCACUGGAAUGGGUUGUCCAGUGAGAUGGUGGAUGCCCCAUCCGUGGAGACACUCGAGGUCAGGUUGGACAGAGCUCUGAGCAACUCGAUCUAGCUGUGGUGCCCCUGUUGAUUGCAGGGGAGUAGGAUUAGAUGAGUUUUAAGGUUCCCUUCCAACUCAAAUGAUUCCAUAAGUCUACAGUUGUAAGUAAUGGCAGAGCAUUUGCAUGCUGCCUCCACUCCAGCAAGGCUCACCUUCAGGAAAAGGAUACCAGCUAAUCAUGAGCAAGCUCUCUGAAGAUCAGUUCAUUUGCAAUUCCUCUCAAGCAAGCUUUGGGGAGUGUCUAGCACCUGCCGUAAAACCGGAUGUUCCAAUAAGCCAAGUCAAAAAAGGUGUGCAAGUGGAAGGAUGAGCACUUGUCCUUGAGGGAGGGCAUUUAACAUACCUAGAAACACGGCCAUUUUUAAAAUUAAUUAAUCCCCUUAAGGAACUGUGAGUGAUGGAUUAGAGACCUUAACUGAGGAAGCAGUCUGUGACACUGUGUGUGCUGGAGGAAGCACUGAGAAAGGACGUAGCUUUGCAGUGUCAUGUGCCUAAGCAAAAAGUCAGUCUUGAGGAGCAGAUCAUCUUUAUUGGCUGCAGGGGAGUCUGGGCAGCCAGGCACGGGCAGAGGAGGAUUUGCAGAACCUUCAGCUCUCCAGCCAGCCCUGGGAGCAGCCGGGUGAGGAGAGAAAAGGGGAAGCUUAAGAUAGCUUCACCAGGAGGAACAGAGCGUGCAGUGAAAUUUUAAAAUAUACCCUUGACUCUGAGAAACGUCUA
ensembl:lncRNA